AUGGAUCAAAUUAGGAACAGACUAAGGAAUUUUGAUUCUCAAAGGCGUUCAGGUGCAGCUGCUAAAUUGAAGCAAAAGCAUACACUUGCCAUACAUGGAUUGAAGGUUCAACGCAGAGCCAAAGUUAAAAAAAUACCAAUAUCAGAAGCUAUUCAUGCCAAUGGAUUCAUAGGUGCAAAGAUGAUUCGGGCAAAGCUAUUACAUAAAUUUCUAUGGGAAUAUGUUAGUGGUUUGCCAAAUCUUGAUUGUGCCAAAGAAGGGCAUGACAAGAACCUUAAUCAAUCAUGUCAGUUUUCAAUCACAGCAGCUAUAAAAGAAAUGCCUCUUGAACUCUUUCUACAAGUUGUGGGAUCAGCAAAGAUUGACAGCAGCACUGUAACUAAGUGUUGUGGAAAAACACUUUCAGAGAUUCCUAUCGGCGUAUACAGUCAGCUCAUGGGCACUCAUGCCAAGGGCCGCCUCUCACGCUUAAUAACUAUUUUAAAUAGGCUCAAGUUGAUUGAACUUGUAAGCAAUCAUGUAGAGGAUUCUGAUGUGCGAUCAGGGGAUAUCCCUACAUAUUCGCUGGAGCUCAGGCCUUACAUUGAAGAACCAACACCAAGCAUUGUUCAGUCAUCACACGUCAGUAUGAACCAUCGUCCAAAAUUUCGGCAUGAUUUUGUGCUCUCAAAGCAGGAAUCUGUCGAUGCUUACUGGGAAACAUUAAAGUACUGUUAUCUAACAGCUGGUUCAGCUGAGCCAAGUUCCUUCCCUGGUAAUUGUGUACCUGAGGUUUCUCAUGUACGGUCAUGGAGUUCAGUAAGAGUAAUGACUACCAAACAACGUCUGGAAUUACAAACUCGUCUCAUGAAUGAAAACGAGAAGGGGAUACUUCCUCACAAAGUUUGCUGUAUAAUUGCAAAGGAUUUGAAUCUCUCUGUGCAGCAGGUGCUUUAUGCUUCCUCCAAGAAUAGACAGCUUCAUGGACAGGCAGGCAUUUCUGAUACACAACAUCAACAAAAAUCUAAUUCUAGAUCAACCUCUCAGAAAAGGAAAAGAUCGGCUAACGAGAUUGCCAUGAAGUUUAUUAAGCAAAAAGUUUUAGCUAGUGGAUCAUCCUCACAGAGGUUAGUCAAGUCUAUUCUGGAUGAAGAAAUAACAGAGAAAAUCUCCCCAUCACCCACUGGCCUACCAGAACAACGUCAUCGAGCUGGCAGCACUCCCACACACAACAUUGUUGGUACUUUCUUGCAUACAAAUAAAGACAAGGGGGUCACCAGACGCAUGGGAAAGAAAAUUUUCUUUUGGACAUCCGAAUCUGACAGAAAAUUGCUCAUGGCAUACACUAGAUACCGCACAAUACGUGGAGCAAAAAUAUCCCGUGUAGCUUGGAACUCUAUUUCUGAUCUUCCAGCUCUACCAGCUGCAUGUUGUAAAAGGAUGUCAACUUUGAGAGCUAAAACAAACAUAAGAACAGCUGUGAAUCGAAUCUGCAACAUUCUUGCAAUACGGUAUAAGAGAUCAAAAGCGAAAGAAUUAUCAAAUUCUGGUUAUGAGAAUUCUGCAGAUUCAGAUUCUGAGCAAUUCAAUUGGGAUAAUUUCGAUGAUCCGGAAAUAAGAAAUGCACUUGAUGAAAUCCUUGAAUUCAUUCGACUAGGAAACAUGGGCCAGACCAAUCGGAUUAGUCCAGAGAAUGAAAGGAGGAAUGAUGAUGUCGCUGAGGAAAUUCGAACUGAGCAGGUUAUGCAAUGUCCAACCAGCAGAAGCACUAUAGCUCCAGAGAAUGUGGAAUUGUGUACAUGUUCCAAUUCAAUGCAUCCAAGUAAAAACGUGGCAAUUCCCUGUAGUGUUCAUGAAAACAACAUUAGACUCAACAAUGCUGAAAUUAAUAAAAGAUCCUUGGCAAUUGCCAAUGCAUUAGAGCUCCUGAAGGUGUUUCUUCUCAGUUCAUUAUCGGGUUCAGAAGCACAAGCUGCAUUAAAAGCCACCUUUCAGCUUUAUUCAGAGAGUGAAAUUUUUACUGCCCUUUCCUUUCUGAGAGGGAAGAACUUCUUGGUUACUGGAAAUGGAAUGAAACCUGUAACCCUUUCUGGAAAAUUCUUCUUUGAUGCUUCUUAUUCACCCUUCCCAUAUGGUUCAGGGAAAAAGGCUUCUGAAUUUUUGAAAUGGUUUGUAGGGCAGCAAAAGAAUAUUGUGGACAGUACAGUUUAUUUGCAUCCAGAUCCACAAUGCGGGGAAAUUGUUCACAUCUUUUCUCUUGUGUUGUCAGGAGAGCUACUCAUUUCACCUUCCUUGCCAAGUGAAGGAGUUGGUGAGGCUGAUGAACCUAACAGCUUCAGUCCUUCAAUCGAGGAUACCAGUGAUUUGGAUGACUGUACUUACAAACGCAAGGGUACAGAGUUGGAAAGCAGUAGGACUAAGAGACACAAACCUUUUCCCCAUAUAGAUAGCCGCAGAGAUAAAGGUUUCCCUGGUAUCCAAGUGGCUUUGAAUCAAGAGAGGAUUCAAACAAACAAUCCCAUGCAGGUGUUACAUCAUAAAGAAUGCCUUAUGUUUACUUUAGCUAGGGAAAUGGGCAGCAAGGAUGUUUAUUCCCAGGUAGAAAGCCGUGACAUGUUGCCAGACUUAAACGAUCUGAAUUCAUGUCGCUGUUUAUUGUCUGCAUUUCAUUUGGAGAAUUCUUAUAGAGGAUGGCCUUGGGAUGCUAUGAAAUUAUAUGCCGAACAGUUACCAUCAUUAUGUUGUAAUAAAAAUGAACCGAUCGUUCUUUCAUCUGACCUGUUCAGAAAUGCAUUUUGUAUUAUUCAUCAAACUGGUGAACAAGGAGUUAAUCUGUGGGAAAUGUCACAGGCACUGCAUCCACUAGGCAUGCAAUCUAUCAGUUUGGUUGUUGAUAUGCUUGAGAGAUUUCAGCUGGCCAUUAAGGUCAAUGCAUAUGAUGGUGUGCAGAUUGUUGACUCAUUACAUAAGCCAAAGUAUCAUAUAACCACACUCGCCGAGUACAGCCAUUGCAGCUGUUUGCGAGCUCCGGGUUCUGAAAUGGCAUCAACUGGAGACACCAGAAAUAUACUGAAAGAGAAGCACUCGACGAUGCCUCUUAAUUUGCAUGGAACUGUAAGGAAGCUUGGCGAGGGGCACACUGUCACAGUUGUUGAUGUUGAAAGGAAGUCAAGCUCUCAUUUGCAGAGUGAAAGUCCUGGAGAUGAUGAAAGGCCAUCUACUUGCUGUCAUGUUUGCAGAAGUCGUAUUUAUCAUCCAAUAUUACCGUGGAUAAAUGGCGAUGGCAGCAUGAAUAGCACUGUCUAUGAAGGUUUAAGCCGUCGUAUUAUUGGAUAUGUCAUGCAAUAUCCAGGAAUUUCGGAGGAGGACGUAAUCCGUCGGAUGGAUGUACUGAAUCCUCAGACAUGCAGGACCUUGCUGGGGAAGCUGACAAUUGACAAACACCUAUAUGUUCAUGUUGGGGUGUUUGAUGAAGAUGUGCCUAGUGCUCCCAUCAUGCUGCAGGGUCUUUUGAAGCAAGGUCACUAUGAAGAACGCUCGAGGUCUGCAAGGCGGCGCUACUUUGCUAAUCCGAUGAGCACCUUCAUGCUGUAG
rnacentral:rRNA from 1 species